GUCAAAACUUCCCCAAGGUACAAAAUAUUCCACCCUUUGUCCUUGGAUUGACCGCUACCACCACCAAACUAGUACUGUUUACUGGGGAAGAGCUGUUUGGACACGUCUUUCCCCCCAAAAUACUUCCCAAAACCUUGCACCCCACUUCCUGGACAAGGUUUGGUAAAAAGCCUCACCAAUUUGCCUAGGUGACCACAGACCCAAACCCUUGGAUCUGAGAACAAUGAAAAAGCAUUCAGUUUUCUUACAAGAAGACUUAAUAAAAAUAGAAGUAAACAGAAAUAAAGAAAUCCCCCCUAUAAAAUCAGGAUGGUAGAUAUCUUACAGGGUAAUUAGAUUCAAAACACAGAGAACCCCUCUAGGCAAAACCUUAAGUUACAAAAAAGAUACACAGACAGAAAUAGUUAUUCUAUUCAGCACAGUUCUUUUCUCAGCCAUUUAAAGAAAUCAUAAUCUAACACGUACCUAGCUAGAUUACUUACUAAAAGUUCUAAGACUCCAUUUCUGGUCUAUCCCCGGCAAAGACAGAAUAUAGACAGACACACAGACCCUUUGUUUCUCUCCCUCCUCCCAGCUUUUGAAAGUAUCUUGUCUCCUCAUUGGUCAUUUUGGUCAGGUGCCAGCGAGGUUACCUUUAGCUUCUUAACCCUUUACAGGUGAGAAGAGCUUUCCCCUGGCCAGGAGGGAUUUCAAAGGGGUUUACCCUUCCCUUUAUAUUUAUGACAAUGGGUUUGAAGCAUUUUUAAAUUUUUAUCGCACAAUUGUUGUAAAUUAUGGAGGAGUUCAGAUUUAAUGACAGUAGCAGAUGAGAUUUAAAAAAAAGUUAAAGCUUUAUAACUGCUAAAACCCAAAUUGUCACUAUCACAUGUCAAAAUAUACAAAGUAAAUAUCCUUAAAUCAAACUCUAAGAAGUUUUCAAGCAUCAUUUUUCUUACUUUGCCUACCUGUAAAUUUUGAUUAUUACUAGGGCUGUCAAUUAAUCACAGUUAACUCACACAAUUAACUCAAAAAAAUUAAUCACGAUUAAAAAAAUUAACUGAUUCAUCACAGUUUUUAAUCACACUGUUAAACUGAAAAUUAUAAAUAUUUGUGCAUGUUUUUCUACAUUUUCAAAUAUAUUUGAAAACGCCCCUUCAUGCUUCCGCCACCAUUCCAGAGGACAUGAUUCCAUGCUGAUGACGCUUGUUAAAAAAUAAUGUGUUAAUUAAAUUUGUGAUUGAACUCCUUGGGGGAGAAUUGUAUGUCCCCUGCUCUGUUUUACACCUGCAUUCUGCCAUAUAUUUCAUGUAAUAUCAGUCUCAGAUGAUGACCCAGCACAUUUGUUUUAAGACUACUUUCACUGCAGAUUUGACAAAACACAAAGAAGGUACCAGUGUGAAAUUUCUACAGCACUCAACCCAUGUUUUAAGAAUCUGAAGUGCCUUCCAAAAUCUGAGAGGGACAAGGUGUAGAGCAUGCCAUCAGAAGUCUUAAAAGAGUAACCCUACAACGCAGAAACUACAGAACCAGAACCACCAAAAAAUAAAAUCAACCUGUUGUUGGUGGCAUCUGACUCUGAUGAUGAAAAUGAACGUGUGUCAGUCCACACUGCUUUGGAUUGUUAUUGAGCAGAACCUGUCAACAGCAUGGAAGCAUGUCCUCUGGAAUGUUGGCCAAAGCAUGAAGGGGCAUAUGAAUCUGGCACGUAAAUACUGUGCAAUGCCGGCUACAAAAGUGUCAUGCCAAUGCCUGUUCUCACUUUCAGGUGACACUGUAAAUAAGAAGCGGGCAGCAUUAUCUCCUGUAAAUGUAAACAAAUUUAUUUGUCUUAGCGAUUGGCUGAACAAGAAGUAGGAAUGAGUGAACUUGUAGGCUCUAAAAUUUUACCCAGUUUUGUUUUGAGUU